AUUGAACGCUGGCGGCAUGCCUUACACAUGCAAGUCGAACGGCAGCACGGGGGCAACCCUGGUGGCGAGUGGCGAACGGGUGAGUAAUACAUCGGAACGUGUCCUGUAGUGGGGGAUAGCCCGGCGAAAGCCGGAUUAAUACCGCAUACGAUCUAAGGAUGAAAGCGGGGGAUCGCAAGACCUCGCGCGAUUGGAGCGGCCGAUGGCAGAUUAGGUAGUUGGUAGGGUAAAGGCCUACCAAGCCGACGAUCUGUAGCUGGACUGAGAGGAUGAUCAGCCACACUGGGACUGAGACACGGCCCAGACUCCUACGGGAGGCAGCAGUGGGGAAUUUUGGACAAGAGGCGCAAGCCUGUUCCAGCCAUUCCGCGUGCAGGAUGAAGGCCUUCGGGUUGUAAACUGCUUUUGUACAGAACGAAAAGGCUCUGGUUAAUACCCGGGGCUCAUGACGGUACUGUAAGAAUAAGCACCGGCUAACUACGUGCCAGCCGCCGCAGUAA
rnacentral:rRNA from 1 species